rnacentral:rRNA from 1 species
UACGGAAGGUCCGGGCGUUAUCCGGAUUUAUUGGGUUUAAAGGGAGCGUAGACGGAAGAGCAAGUCUGAUGUGAAAGGCUGGGGCUUAACCCCGUGAUGGGAUGGAAACUGGAAAGCUGGAGUAUCGGAGAGGAAAGUGGAAUUCCUAGUGUAGCGGUGAAAUGCGUAGAGAUUAGGAAGAACACCGGUGGCGAAGGCGACUUUCUGGACGACAACUGACGCUGAGGCGCGAAAGCGUGGGGAGCAAACAGG